GAUGAACGCUGGCGGCGUGCCUAAUACAUGCAAGUCGAGCGAACAGACGAGAGUGCUUGCACUCUCUGACGUUAGCGGCGGACGGGUGAGUAACACGUGGGUAACCUACCUAUAAGACUGGGAUAACUUCGGGAAACCGGAGCUAAUACCGGAUAAUAUUUAGCUUCGCAUGAAGCAAUAGUGAAAGACGGUUCUGCUGUCACUUAUAGAUGGACCCGCGGUGUAUUAGCUAGUUGGUGAGGUAACGGCUCACCAAGGCAACGAUACAUAGCCGACCUGAGAGGGUGAUCGGCCACACCGGGACUGAGACACGGCCCAGACUCCUACGGGAGGCAGCAGUAGGGAAUCUUCCGCAAUGGACGAAAGUCUGACGGAGCAAUGCCGCGUGAGUGAAGAAGGUUUUCGGAUCGUAAAACUCUGUUGUAAGAGAAGAACAAGUACGUUAGUAACUGAACGUACCUUGACGGUACCUUACCAGAAAGCCACGGCUAACUACGUG
rnacentral:rRNA from 1 species